rnacentral:rRNA from 1 species
CAGUAGCCGCGGUAAGACGAACCGUGCGAACGUUAUUCGGAAUCACUGGGCUUAAAGCGCGUGUAGGCGGGAGGGCACGUCCGUCGCUGAAAUCCCCCGGCUCAACCGGGGAACGGGCGCGGAUACGACUCUUCUGGAGGAACGUAGGGGGACCUGGAACUUCCGGUGGAGCGGUGAAAUGCGUUGAGAUCGGAAGGAACGCCCGUGGCGAAAGCGAGGUCCUGGACGUUUACUGACGCUGAGACGCGAAAGCCAGGGGAGCGAACGGGAUUAGAUACCCCAGUAGUCCCUGUCUCUUAUA